GUGGGGAAUAUUGGACAAUGGGCGAAAGCCUGAUCCAGCCAUGCCGCGUGUGUGAAGAAGGCCUUUUGGUUGUAAAGCACUUUAAGCGAGGAGGAGGCUACCGAGAUUAAUACUCUAGGAUAGUGGACGUUACUCGCAGAAUAAGCACCGGCUAACUCUGUGCCAGCAGCCGCGGUAAUACAGAGGGUGCGAGCGUUAAUCGGAUUUACUGGGCGUAAAGCGUGCGUAGGCGGCUUUUUAAGUCGGAUGUGAAAUCCCUGAGCUUAACUUAGGAAUUGCAUUCGAUACUGGGAAGCUAGAGUAUGGGAGAGGAUGGUAGAAUUCCAGGUGUAGCGGUGAAAUGCGUAGAGAUCUGGAGGAAUACCGAUGGCGAAGGCAGCCAUCUGGCCUAAUACUGACGCUGAGGUACGAAAGCAUGGGGAGCAAACAGGAUUAGAUACCCGAGUAGUCC
rnacentral:rRNA from 1 species